AUACGGAGGAUGCGAGCGUUAUCCGGAUUUAUUGGGUUUAAAGGGUGCGUAGGCGGAAUGGUAAGUCAGUGGUGAAAUCCUGCAGCUCAACUGUAGAGUUGCCAUUGAUACUGUCAUUCUUGAGUAUAGAUGAGGUAGGCGGAAUGAGUAGUGUAGCGGUGAAAUGCAUAGAUAUUACUCAGAACACCAAUUGCGAAGGCAGCUUACUAAACUAACACUGACGCUGAAGCACGAAAGCGUGGGUAUCAAACAGGAUUAGAUACCCUGGUAGUCCACGCCGUAAACGAUGAUUACUGGUUGUUUGCAAUACACCGCAAGCGACUGAGCGAAAGCAUUAAGUAAUCCACCUGGGGAGUACGUCGGCAACGAUGAA
rnacentral:rRNA from 1 species